rnacentral:rRNA from 1 species
UACGAAAGGGGCUAGCGUUGCUCGGAAUCACUGGGCGUAAAGCGCACGUAGGCGGAUUGCUAAGUCAGGGGUGAAAUCCUGGAGCUCAACUCCAGAACUGCCUUUGAUACUGGCGAUCUUGAGUCCGGGAGAGGUGAGUGGAACUGCGAGUGUAGAGGUGAAAUUCGUAGAUAUUCGCAAGAACACCAGUGGCGAAGGCGGCUCACUGGCCCGGUACUGACGCUGAGGCGCGAGAGCGUGGGGAGCAAACCGG